rnacentral:rRNA from 1 species
GACGAACGCUGGCGGCGUGCUUAACACAUGCAAGUCGAGCGAUGAAACACCUUCGGGUGCGGAUUAGCGGCGAACGGGUGAGGAACACGUGAGGAAUCUGCCUUCCACUCUGGGAUAACUCCGGGAAACCGGGGCUAAUACCGGAUACUUUCAACUGGCGGCAUCGCCGGUUGAAGAAUGUUUUGCGGUGGAAGAUGACCUCGCGGCCGAUCAGCUUGUUGGUGAGGUAAAGGCUCACCCAGGCGACGACGGGUAGCCGGCCUGAGAGGGCGACCGGCCACACUGGGACUGAGACACGGCCCAGACUCCUACGGGAGGCAGCAGUGGGGAAUAUUGGGCAAUGGAGGAAACUCUGACCCAGCGACGCCGCGUGAGGGAUGAAGGCCUUCGGGUUGUAAACCUCUUUCAGCAGGGAAUAAGCGAAAGUGAAGGUACCUGCAGAAGAAGCACCGGCUAACUAUGUGCCAGCAGCCGCGGUAA